rnacentral:rRNA from 1 species
UACAGAGGGGGCAAGCGUUGUUCGGAAUUACUGGGCUUAAAGGGUGCGUAGGCGGCGCAGUAAGUUGGGUGUGAAAUCCCUCGGCUUAACCGAGGAAUUGCGCCCAAAACUACUGUGCUCGAGGGAGAUAGAGGUGAGCGGAACUUAGGGUGGAGCGGUGAAAUGCGUUGAUAUCCUGAGGAACACCGGUGGCGAAAGCGGCUCACUGGAUCUCUUCUGACGCUGAGGCACGAAAGCGUGGGGAGCAAACAGG